GAAAAAAAAAUUUUUUUUUAAACUACUUCAAACAUUCAUAGUAUAUUGACUUUUCCAGGUGGGUUCCCAUGUGCUUCAAAAACCCUGCUAUGGUUUGCUAGGUCUCUGUACUAAUGGAACAUGAAGUUUGUAAGAAUUCUAGGGCAAAGUAAGUCAUACCAUUCGUCCUGGGAAAGAGAAUUAUAACUGAAAGGAAUAACACUAUUAUGCUGAUCUUCUCAGUGCUGGGAGCUAGCUAGCCAAGGUUGUUUUUCUUCCUUUUACAUGGGCUAUGAGAAGGAUCUGGUUUCAGUUCUUGGUAUUGCACCUGUUUAAACAGAGUUCAGAGAAAGACUGGUCAGGUGGCCACUUUCUGGCAAAGGAAGGAAAAGCAAAGGAAUGAAAGACGGCUUGGAGGAAAGUGCUCACUCUGGAAUCUGUAUGAGAGCUGCAGCUGGGAUGCAGAAAACAAUAGAAUGAUACAGCAAGAGUCAGAAGGGAGAUCCUGCCAGAAACUACAUGAGAGCCCCGAUGUGAACUGUAGUGACAGACUGGGGUUUUCACUGUCCAUAAGACAUUCCACUAAAAGCAAAACCAUCUCCAUCUGUUCUGAAGGGACUGAUAAUGGUUCUUUGAAACUUAUUGUUUUAAUACAGGCUUAAUCUCCAU